rnacentral:tRNA from 1 species
GACAAGAUAGCUCAAGGGUUAGAGCUCUAGUUUCAUAAGCCAGAGGUUGGGGGUUCAAAUCCCCCUCUUGUC